rnacentral:rRNA from 1 species
AGAGUUUGAUCCUGGCUCAGGACGAACGCUGGCGGCGUGCUUAACACAUGCAAGUCGAACGAUGAACCACUUCGGUGGGGAUUAGUGGCGAACGGGUGAGUAACACGUGGGCAAUCUGCCCUGCACUCUGGGACAAGCCCUGGAAACGGGGUCUAAUACCGGAUACUGACCACCUUGGGCAUCCAAGGUGUUCGAAAGCUCCGGCGGUGCAGGAUGAGCCCGCGGCCUAUCAGCUUGUUGGUGAGGUAAUGGCUCACCAAGGCGACGACGGGUAGCCGGCCUGAGAGGGCGACCGGCCACACUGGGACUGAGACACGGCCCAGACUCCUACGGGAGGCAGCAGUGGGGAAUAUUGCACAAUGGGCGAAAGCCUGAUGCAGCGACGCCGCGUGAGGGAUGACGGCCUUCGGGUUGUAAACCUCUUUCAGCAGGGAAGAAGCGAAAGUGACGGUACCUGCAGAAGAAGCGCCGGCUAACUACGUGCCAGCAGCCGCGGUAAUACGUAGGGCGCGAGCGUUGUCCGGAAUUAUUGGGCGUAAAGAGCUCGUAGGCGGCUUGUCACGUCGGUUGUGAAAGCCCGGGGCUUAACCCCGGGUCUGCAGUCGAUACGGGCAGGCUAGAGUUCGGUAGGGGAGAUCGGAAUUCCUGGUGUAGCGGUGAAAUGCGCAGAUAUCAGGAGGAACACCGGUGGCGAAGGCGGAUNUC